UUGUAUCUCUGUAGCGCAAUGGACAGCGCGUUGGACUUCUAAUCCAAAGGUCGUGGGCUCGAAUUCCACCUAGUAAG